UACGUAGGUGGCAAGCGUUAUCCGGAAUUAUUGGGCGUAAAGAGCGCGCAGGUGGUUAAUUAAGUCUGAUGUGAAAGCCCACGGCUUAACCGUGGAGGGUCAUUGGAAACUGGUUGACUUGAGUGCAGAAGAGGGAAGUGGAAUUCCAUGUGUAGCGGUGAAAUGCGUAGAGAUAUGGAGGAACACCAGUGGCGAAGGCGGCUUCCUGGUCCGUAACUGACACUGAGGCGCGAAAGCGUGGGGAGCAAACAGG
rnacentral:rRNA from 1 species